CUCCCUUUAUAGAGCUUCUGAAGGAUUUUAGGAUGAUUCUUAAGGUAGAGAUAUGGAAGCCUUCUUGUAGAUGUUAGGAGAGAGGAGGCUUAUUUAUUUUCUAGAUGUGGGACUAACAAGAGAGGCUAGGUAUUUGUUUUAUUUUAAAACUCCGAAAAGAUCUUCUCUACUUUGUGGUGUCUAUCCCAAGCUUCCGCAUGAAUCAUUCGCGCAUCUCAUGAGGACCGCUCUCGUGCUUGCAUGAAGAUAGCACCUUCUUUCCUUAUUUUCUUGCUGAGUCCCAUCCAAAAAGUCACA
rnacentral:lncRNA from 1 species